AGCUCCAAUAGCGUAUAUUAAAGUUGUUGCAGUUAAAAAGCUCGUAGUUGGAUUUGUGGUCUACGUAAGGCGUCCAUCCCUUUUGGGUUUUGGUGUUGCCUAGCGUUGCCAUCCUUGGGUGGAAUCUGUGUGGCAUUAGGUUGUCGUGCAGGGGAUGCCCAUCGUUUACUGUGAAAAAAUUAGAGUGUUCAAAGCAGGCUUAUGCCGUUGAAUAUGUUAGCAUGGAAUAAUAAGAUAGGACCUUGGUACUAUUUUGUUGGUUUGCGCACCGAGGUAAUGAUUAAUAGGGACGGUUGGGGGUAUUCGUAUUCCAUUGUCAGAGGUGAAAUUCUUGGAUUUUUGGAAGACGAACUACUGCGAAAGCAUUUACCAAGGAUGUUUUCA
rnacentral:rRNA from 1 species